AUUGAACGCUGGCGGCAGGCCUAACACAUGCAAGUCGAGCGGAUGAAGGGUGCUUGCUCCUGGAUUCAGCGGCGGACGGGUGAGUAAUGCCUAGGAAUCUGCCUGUUAGUGGGGGAUUACGUCCGGAAACGGGCGCUAAUACCGCAUAAGUCCUGCGCGAGAAAGUGGGGGAUCUUCGGACCUCACGCUAUCUGAUGAGCCUAGGUCGGAUUAGCGAGUUGGUGGGGUAAAGGCAUACCAAGGCGACGAUCAGUAACUGGUCUGAGAGGAUGAUCAGGCCGACUUGAACGGGGACACGGUCCAGACUCCAACGGGAGGCAGCAGAGGGGAAUAUUGGAGGAUGGGCGGAAGCCUGAUGCAGCCAGGCCGCGUGUGUGAAGAAGGUCUUCGGAGUGUAAAACACAGUAAGUUGGGAGGAAAGGCAGUAAGUUAAGACCUGGCUGUUUUGACGGUACCAACAGAAGAAGCACCGGCUAACUUCGUG
rnacentral:rRNA from 1 species